rnacentral:rRNA from 1 species
GCUUAGCCUUAAACAUAGAUAAUAACCUACUUAUUUUAUCCGCCUGGGAACUACGAGCGUUAGCUUAAAACCCAAAGGACUUGGCGGUGCUUUAGAUCCACCUAGAGGAGCCUGUUCUAGAACCGAUAAUCCCCGUUAAACCUCACCUUUCCUUGUCUUUUUCCGCCUAUAUACCGCCGUCGUCAGCUUGCUCUGUGAGGAACUCGUAGCGUGCAUAACUGGCAUAGCCCAAAACGCCAGGUCGAGGUGUAGCGAAUGGAAAGGGAAGAAAUGGGCUACACUCAGUAUCAUACUAAAUACGGAUGACAUUCUGAAAAAAUAUCUGAAGGAGGAUUUAGCAGUAAGCAGAGAAUAGAGUGCUCUGCUGAAAUAGGCCCUGAAGCGCGU